AUGAAAGAGAGCGAGGACGGCGGCCGCCGCCGCCGCUGCCGCAGGCCCCAAACCCACGCGAGUGACGAGGCCGUCGGAGUGACCCGCAGCCAUCCGCAGCUUCACGCGAGCGAGGAGGGAGCCGGAGUGGCUCGCCGCCGCUCCCGUUCCCAGAUCCGCGCGACUAGCGAGGGUGCUGAAGUGAUCUGCCGCCCCGGAGUCUUCCCGGCUGCGCUGGCCUCGCCGAUUGAAGACGACGACCUCCUGAGGGAGAUCCUCCUCCGUCUUCCGCCGCAGCCCUCCUCGCUCGUCCGGGCCUCCGCGGUCUGCAAGCAGUGGCGCUGCGCCGCCACCGACCCCAAGUUCCUCCACCGCUUCCGCCUCCACCACCAGAAGCCGCCCCUCCUCGGCCUCUUCCACCGCCGCAAGGAUGAUAUCGUCUUCACCCCCAUCAUGGACCGUCCCGACCGAAUCCCUCCAGAGCGUUUCGACCUGCAUCUCCUGGACAUGGACAGCCACACCAUGUGGAUGGUCGAACUGCUUGAUUGCCGCCAUGGCCGCGUCCUUCUCAUGGACACUCUGUGGGACGAGGUCAUCAUGUGCGAACCUAUCACCGGCGAGCAGCACCGCUUGGCCGUUCCGCCAGAGUUCGUAAGGAAUCGCUUCACCGGGGCUGUGCUCUGUGCUGCCAUCGACCAUGACCACGUGCACGGAAGCUGCCACUCGAGCCCAUUCAACGUGGUGCUGAUCUCCGCUCUCGGAGGGAAUAAUCAACCUAUCGCCUGUGUUUACUCCUCAGACUGGUGA
rnacentral:rRNA from 1 species